UCCAUGCUAGUUAAAUGGGUCAGGGGUUUGAGGGCCAGGGGCUCUACUGUGCUGCCUUUGGCUAUGCUCCAGGCAUGGAACAACCCCACCUCCCCAGGGAAAAUGGGGCACCACGUCCCUCUGGCAUGGCUGUAGCCCAACUUUCUUCAACCACCCCACCUCUUCUGGAUCUUCUGUGUCUCCCAGGAACUUCUUCCAGCCCCCAGAGCACUCUCCAUGUCAUCUAACAGAACUGCUUCCUUGGCUUCGGGUGCCGAAAAGUUUCACACCUCAUACUCGGGCACCAUGGUCCAAAGCCACGCGCUACGCACACUUCCGAAAUUCACUGCAACAGAACUAAGCCUGACUUUUCAGUACUGGACUCUCCGUCAGUAGAAUCAGAACUGUUAUGGUGUGACCUGCUGAAAGAAGCUUCCCUGCUUUUUACCAAGAGGUAAUCAGGCAACCGACACAAAAAAGAACGAAAGAAUGGGCAGACUGGAAACAGUCUGCGUGUCUGAAGCCAUGUUACACUGACAGCGACAGAAGACCAUCUGAGCUCCAGUAUUCAGGGAGUUCUCUUUUUGCAUUUGAGUCAAAAUUAGACUUUAAGAGAGGAAAAAAACACAUCGCCACAAUACUGCGUUCAAACGGAGCAGCGAGCUGUCAAACAGGCUGAUGUUCCACUCAAAGUAUGAGCCUCCGCACUCAAAUCCAAACCAGCAACAAAAUGAUGCCAUCAUUUCCAAAGCACUGGCGUGUUGCUACAACAUACUCCGUACUGCAAGUAGGGCUCUGCAGAGCGCCUUCAUGUGUGGAACAGUGUAAUAGUGAAUGCACCGUGAAUGGCGUCACGCAGCUGAAGCAUGUGCUCGCGGAGCCCCGCAGCAUCGUAGGGACAACCACCGGUCCGAGUCCCCUCACUGCAGUGUCCAGGGUGACGUCAUUCCCCAGAGUGCCAGCACGCGCCGUUCCUAUUGCGCUAACAAAGUCCGAGCGAGAAGCUCAUCAGCACGAAGAGCAAUCAAUCCCAGAACACUGCUUGGCAAAUGCGUGCAGCGCUUGGAAGCAUGAAGCGUGAGAAAGUGCCGGCGCUUCCUAGAACUGAAGAACACAGGCCGUCACUUUACCUCUGGAGACAGGGACACCGAUUUCCUGUCCAGACCCACCUCCGCUCCCUCAAAAAGGUGCACGAGUACUCCGGGCAGCUCUCUCCACAAGGCACCCCCGUCCAACAGAGCCCCGAAGAGACAAGGCAAGAGUUUUCCAGCACGCCAGAUUGAAUGGAUACAGGAGAGACCAAAAACCAGCUCGUGGCUUUAAGUGUUCACUCUCUCUUCCACAAAAAUCACAAACCACAGGAAUAAUAUCUCUGCUGACUCAGCGCAGAUGCAACUGGCCGGCGUGGAACUGUGGAAAGUCACGAGCGCUUUGGCUCCACCACAGGGAGAAGCUUUCAGAAUCGCAGCAAGGGAACAGCUUCAAGGGACCCCCACCCCGUUGUGAGGAAACAUACCUCACAACUUGUGCUUCCAGGAUACGCUCCGCAUUGCUGUGACCCUACACUGGACGACUGGUUACUGAUGGGUGACUAGAUGGGUGGAAUCACACUGCUGAGACCUUAAGAAAGGUUCCCAACGAUGAUCUUAACUGUUCGGUCAUCCUACGCUGCUGCAUAUUCCCACAGAUGAGGUAGGAUUAAUGCAAGGGCGAAUGAGAAAAGAGAAAAACGUGAUGACAGCGUGGGUGAUAGCAGCGAUAACAAUGGACAUGUUAACAGACCACUGCUGGAGCUUCGACUUCAUCUCCAACACCUCUCCACUCGUUGUCAACAUCAAAGCUCAUUGCCCCAUGUACAAGAACUUCAGCAAACAGUUCCGGGCUACGAAAGUCAUAUAAACGCCUGUGCUUGUGAGCGCGACGUCAUGGGCCACCCAGCUGUUCGACACAUUUUGUGCACGUUUUGUGGUCUGGCUGUUUCAACAAGAUAUUUCUCCCUCUGUCUCCAAAAGACAACGGAGCUCAGGGAGUUCUGACCCAAUUCUUUCUCCAUGUCUCACAAAAAGCAUCAGAGGAAAAAAUAUCCAUACACUGAAAGUGAACACGAAGAUCCUGCUGAAAUUCUCAUAUUUCCAACGCAUAUCAAGCUGUAAAAUUUAAAUACUCAAAGGCGCUGGUAGGUUGUGUAUAUAUGACUGAAUAUGGCCAAAAUUUACUCCAUGAAGACUUCGUAUUCUGGGAAAUUGGUUAAAUUCUGAAAUUAGCGCUGUGGCCUCAGGGUUGUCCCUCCAGAAGAAAGCACAUGUAAGGUUUAGCCAUCAUGGUGGGUGCCCCUUGCCCCUGUCCCUCGGUCUGCAGCGAGCACAGGAUCUCUUUUCCCACAGGGGCCACAACAGGGGGCCAUUUGUUCUCCACUCAUGGUUUCCUCUCCCAGACUGCCUGGCCCACACUGUCCCUCCAACCCCACGCAAUGGACCUUUCUCCAUCCCCAUCCCUUUCCCAGUCUUCAUCUCUGCCUUCCAUUCCUCUGACCCCCAGCAGUCUAUAGACAGAGCAGACCCAGCUUGUCUUCUCAACUUAGGAAAGAGGGGGGCGCAUCAACUGGUAGAGAAAAGAACAGACACGGAAGCUCAUUUGAUCCGUUCCAGUGACCGAUGCUUUGAUGACCAGUUGGAGGAUAUAACGCGCUGUUGUUUUCUCUGAGUUUCAGAGCAAAGUGCCUGCUAAGCGAAUACAUGUAACAAUAGCAGUUUCAGUAGCAUAAGUGACAAUGCAAGGACGGACGUAUGCAGAACCCACGAGGUUAACCGAAGCACAGCACAGCCACUCCAUCCCAGGCCUCAUCGGCGCCGCCUGACGUUGAGCCGGAGGGCUUCCACCAGCUGAAUAGUUC